rnacentral:rRNA from 1 species
AGUGAACGCUGGCGGUAGGCCUAACACAUGCAAGUCGAACGGCAGCACAGUAAGAGCUUGCUCUUACGGGUGGCGAGUGGCGGACGGGUGAGGAAUACAUCGGAAUCUACUUUUUCGUGGGGGAUAACGUAGGGAAACUUACGCUAAUACCGCAUACGACCUACGGGUGAAAGCAGGGGAACUUCGGACCUUGCGCGAUUGAAUGAGCCGAUGUCGGAUUAGCUAGUUGGCGGGGUAAAGGCCCACCAAGGCGACGAUCCGUAGCUGGUCUGAGAGGAUGAUCACCCACACUGGAACUGAGACACGGUCCAGACUACUACGGGAGGCAGCAGUGGGGAAUAUUGGACAAUGGUCGCAAGUCUGAUCCAGCCAUCCCGCGUGGGUGACGAAGGCCUUCGGGUUGUAAAGCCCUUUUGUUGGGAAAGAACAGCAGCAGGUUAAUACCCCGCUGUUCUGACGGUACCCAAAGAAUAAGCACCGGCUAACUUCGUG